CUUAAAGUAAUGUGUAUAGACUAUACACAUUAUUGUAGGCGAAAGGUGGAUUUUAAAAAUGUAUGCACUUCAACUAUCAGUGUCACACACACACCAUGGAGACUACACAGGUAGGGAAGGAGGAGUCAAGUUAUCUAUGUGCCCGCUAAGGAACUCAAGGAGUGCUAACAGUCCACGUGUUAGGGGGUACAAUACUUGCCUUGCACCGGGCAUUGAAAACCCA